rnacentral:lncRNA from 1 species
UCGGCUGCUGUGAUGAUAGCAACGCCCUUCUGUACAGAGUUGACAUCACCCUUCCUCCUAAGGUGGGGAGGGACGAGACGGCAGACAUAUUGCAGAUUAAGGCAAAAGUGGAGGGUCUAACUGACAUCAAAGUUAUAUUUUCAUUUAAGGAAAUCGGGAACCCAAAGGUAUUGCUUGUUCUUAAUGUUGAGAAAGCGUGCAGCUGGCCACAAUUGACAAGCUUUCUGUCACGAAAGGGCUAUGAGGUGAAGACGACCCCAGUGUACCGCUGUAGUGACUACGCCCGGUAACUUGGGGUCAAUGUAUCAAGAGACAUUUAUGAUUUGUCUCUCGAGGAUGAUGAGCACUUACUUCUUGGCAAGCAAAUAUUUCAUGUCAAAGAUUUAACAACAGCUGAGUUUGACGAGAAGAUGAGACAGAUGUUUGAGAGAGACGUGGGGUUUCUGAAAGCAGGUCAAAGGGCGGCAUGUUUCAGAACUCUAGCAAGCCUUCCAGUUGAGUUAAUGCACUUCGCGCCAGUUGGCCCUCAGAAAAUGGAGGCGGUAGAAGAUAUCUUGCAUGGACCCGAUACCUUUGACCUUGAAAUCAUUCGAAUCCAGAACCUUGCUCCAUACGGGGGAGGGUGUCAGUGAAAAGAUGUAGUUUCCUAUGUGGCCUGACAGUUAAGGAUUAUAUAUAACAGUCCACUAAUAGUUUCAGACCUUGAAACCAGAUAUUCAGAAGGAAUACAUUUUAAACAUGUUGACGGAAAGAAUGAUAUGUAAUUAGCUUUGAAUAAAGUUUUGCAUUCC